AUUGAACGCUGGCGGCAGGCCUAACACAUGCAAGUCGAACGGUAACAGGAAGCAGCUUGCUGCUUUGCUGACGAGUGGCGGACGGGUGAGUAAUGUCUGGGAAACUGCCUGAUGGAGGGGGAUAACUACUGGAAACGGUAGCUAAUACCGCAUAACGUCGCAAGACCAAAGAGGGGGACCUUAGGGCCUCUUGCCAUCGGAUGUGCCCAGAUGGGAUUAGCUAGUAGGUGGGGUAACGGCUCACCUAGGCGACGAUCCCUAGCUGGUCUGAGAGGAUGACCAGCCACACUGGAACUGAGACACGGUCCAGACUCCUACGGGAGGCAGCAGUGGGGAAUAUUGCACAAUGGGCGCAAGCCUGAUGCAGCCAUGCCGCGUGUAUGAAGAAGGCCUUCGGGUUGUAAAGUACUUUCAGCGGGGAGUAAGGGAGUAAAGUUAAUACCUUGGCUCAUUGACGUUACCCGCAGAAGAAGCACCGGCUAACUCCGUG
rnacentral:rRNA from 1 species